AUUGAACGCUGGCGGCAUGCUUUACACAUGCAAGCCGAACGGUAACAGGCCGCAAGGUGCUGACGAGUGGCGAACGGGUGCGUAAUGCAUCGGAACGUGCCCAGUCGUGGGGGAUAACUACUCGAAAGAGUAGCUAAUACCGCAUACGAUCUAUGGAUGAAAGCGGGGGACCGUAAGGCCUCGCGCGAUUGGAGCGGCCGAUGUCAGAUUAGGUAGUUGGUGGGGUAAAGGCUCACCAAGCCAACGAUCUGUAGCUGGUCUGAGAGGACGACCAGCCACACUGGGACUGAGACACGGCCCAGACUCCUACGGGAGGCAGCAGUGGGGAAUUUUGGACAAUGGGCGCAAGCCUGAUCCAGCAAUGCCGCGUGCAGGAAGAAGGCCUUCGGGUUGUAAACUGCUUUUGUACGGAACGAAACGGCUCUGGUUAAUACCCGGGGCUAAUGACGGUACCGUAAGAAUAAGCACCGGCUAACUACGUG
rnacentral:rRNA from 1 species